UCUCCGUAGGUGAACCUGCGGAGGGAUCAUUACAGAGUUCAUGCCCUAACGGGUAGAUCUCCCACCCUAUGUUAUCAUCACUUUGUUGCUUUGGCGGGCCGUCAGGCCUCGGCUUGGCUACCGGCUCUCGCUGGUAAGCGCCCGCCAGAGAACCCCAAACCCUGAAUAUCAGUGUCGUCUGAGUACUAUAUAAUAGUUAAAACUUUCAACAACGGAUCUCCUGGUUCUG
rnacentral:misc_RNA from 1 species